rnacentral:rRNA from 1 species
CCUACGGGCGGCAGCAGUGGGGAAUAUUGCACAAUGGGGGAAACCCUGAUGCAGCGACGCCGCGUGAGUGAAGAAGUAUUUCGGUAUGUAAAGCUCUAUCUGCAGGGAGGAAAAUGACGGUACCUGUUUAGGGAUCCACGGCUAACUACGUGCCAGCAGCCGCGGUAAUACGUAGGGAGCAAGCGUUAUCCGGAUUUACUGGGUGUAAAGGGGGCUUAGUCGGCAGCACAAGUCUGGAGUGAAAUGCCGGGGCUUAACACCGGAACUGCUUUGGAAACUGUGCAGCUAGAGUGCAGUAGCGGUAAGUGGAAUUCAUAGUGUAGCGGUGAAAUGCGUAGAUAUCAGGAGGAACACCAGUGGCGAAGGCGGCUUACUGGACUGUAACUGACGUUGAGGCUCGAAAGCGUGGGGAGCAAACAGGAUUAGAUACCCUUGUAGUC